GUACACUCCUACGGGAGGCAGCAGUGGGGAAUAUUGGACAAUGGGCGCAAGCCUGAUCCAGCCAUGCCGCGUGAGUGAUGAAGGCCCUAGGGUUGUAAAGCUCUUUCACCGGAGAAGAUAAUGACGGUAUCCGGAGAAGAAGCCCCGGCUAACUUCGUGCCAGCAGCCGCGGUAAUACGAAGGGGGCUAGCGUUGUUCGGAAUUACUGGGCGUAAAGCGCACGUAGGCGGAUCGAUCAGUCAGGGGUGAAAUCCCAGGGCUCAACCCUGGAACUGCCUUUGAUACUGUCGAUCUGGAGUAUGGAAGAGGUGAGUGGAAUUCCGAGUGUAGAGGUGAAAUUCGUAGAUAUUCGGAGGAACACCAGUGGCGAAGGCGGCUCACUGGUCCAUUACUGACGCUGAGGUGCGAAAGCGUGGGGAGCAAACAGGAUUAGAAACCCGGGUAGUCCCAUG
rnacentral:rRNA from 1 species